UACGUAGGGGGCUAGCGUUGUCCGGAAUCAUUGGGCGUAAAGAGCGUGUAGGCGGUCCGGUAAGUCCGCUGUGAAAGUCCGGGGCUCAACCUCGGAUCGGCCGUGGCGACUCGUAGGCUGGAGCACUGUAGAGGCGGGUGGAAUUCCGGGUGUAGCGGUGGAAUGCGUAGAGAUCCGGAAGAACACCAGUGGCGAAGGCGGCCCGCUGGGCAGUGGCUGACGCUGAAGCGCGACAGCGUGGGGAGCAAACAGG
rnacentral:rRNA from 1 species